ACGAACGCUGGCGGCGUGCUUAACACAUGCAAGUCGAACGGAAAGGCCCUUCGGGGUACUCGAGUGGCGAACGGGUGAGUAACACGUGGGUGAUCUGCCCUGCACUUUGGGAUAAGCCUGGGAAACUGGGUCUAAUACCGAAUAGGACCGCAUGCUUCAUGGUGUGUGGUGGAAAGCUUUUGCGGUGUGGGAUGGGCCCGCGGCCUAUCAGCUUGUUGGUGGGGUAAUGGCCUACCAAGGCGACGACGGGUAGCCGGCCUGAGAGGGUGACCGGCCACACUGGGACUGAGAUACGGCCCAGACUCCUACGGGAGGCAGCAGUGGGGAAUAUUGCACAAUGGGCGCAAGCCUGAUGCAGCGACGCCGCGUGAGGGAUGACGGCCUUCGGGUUGUAAACCUCUUUCAGCAGGGACGAAGCGAAAGUGACGGUACCUGCAGAAGAAGGACCGGCCAACUACGUGCCAGCAGCCGCGGUAAUACGUAGGGUCCGAGCGUUGUCCGGAAUUACUGGGCGUAAAGAGCUCGUAGGUGGUUUGUCACGUUGUUCGUGAAAACUCACAACUCAAUUGUGGGCGUGCGGGCGAUACGGGCAGACUAGAGUACUGCAGGGGAGACUGGAAUUCCUGGUGUAGCGGUGGAAUGCGCAGAUAUCAGGAGGAACACCGGUGGCGAAGGCGGGUCUCUGGGCAGUAACUGACGCUGAGGAGCGAAAGCGUGGGGAGCGAACAGGAUUAGAUACCCUGGUAGUCCACGCCGUAAACGGUGGGUACUAGGUGUGGGUUUCCUUCCUUGGGAUCCGUGCCGUAGCUAACGCAUUAAGUACCCCGCCUGGGGAGUACGGCCGCAAGGCUAAAACUCAAAGAAAUUGACGGGGGCCCGCACAAGCGGCGGAGCAUGUGGAUUAAUUCGAUGCAACGCGAAGAACCUUACCUGGGUUUGACAUGCACAGGACGCCAGUAGAGAUAUUGGUUCCCUUGUGGCCUGUGUGCAGGUGGUGCAUGGCUGUCGUCAGCUCGUGUCGUGAGAUGUUGGGUUAAGUCCCGCAACGAGCGCAACCCUUGUCCUAUGUUGCCAGCGGGUUAUGCCGGGGACUCGUAGGAGACUGCCGGGGUCAACUCGGAGGAAGGUGGGGAUGACGUCAAGUCAUCAUGCCCCUUAUGUCCAGGGCUUCACACAUGCUACAAUGGCCGGUACAAAGGGCUGCGAUGCCGUGAGGUGGAGCGAAUCCUUUCAAAGCCGGUCUCAGUUCGGAUCGGGGUCUGCAACUCGACCCCGUGAAGUCGGAGUCGCUAGUAAUCGCAGAUCAGCAACGCUGCGGUGAAUACGUUCCCGGGCCUUGUACACACCGC
rnacentral:rRNA from 1 species